rnacentral:rRNA from 1 species
GGGGGAGUAACUACUAGAAAUGGUAGCUAAUACCGCAUAAGUUGAAAAACCAAAGUGGGGGACCUUAAAAGGCCUCAUGCUUUGGAUGAGCCCAGAAGAGAUUAGCUUGUUGGUAAGGUAAAAGCUUACCAAGGCCACGAUCUCUAGCUGGUCUGAGAGGAUAACCAGCCACACUGGAACUGAGACACGGUCCAG